GACGAACGCUGGCGGCGUGCUUAACACAUGCAAGUCGAACGGAAAGGCCCUGCUUUUGUGGGGUGCUCGAGUGGCGAACGGGUGAGUAACACGUGAGUAACCUGCCCUUGACUUUGGGAUAACUUCAGGAAACUGGGGCUAAUACCGGAUAGGAGCUCCUGCUGCAUGGUGGGGGUUGGAACGUUUCGGCGGUUGGGGAUGGACUCGCGGCUUAUCAGCUUGUUGGUGGGGUAGUGGCUUACCAAGGGUUUGACGGGUAGCCGGCCUGAGAGGGUGACCGGCCACAUUGGGACUGAGAGACGGCCCAGACUCCUACGGGAGGCAGCAGUGGGGAAUAUGGCACAAUGGGCGGAAGCCUGAUGCAGCAACGCCGCGUGCGGGAUGACGGCCUUCGGGUUGUAAACCGCUUUCGCCUGUGACGAAGCGUGAGUGACGGUAAUGGGUAAAGAAGCACCGGCUAACUACGUG
rnacentral:rRNA from 1 species